rnacentral:pre_miRNA from 1 species
UGGACAGAUUAUUGUAUUCGACUGUAUUCAUGGCGUGAAACAGGGGAUUACACUAUUUUUAAACGGAAACUGAAUCAAUUAACAUAACAGACUCCU